UACGGAUAUAAUCUCCAGGGCGCAGUUGCCCC
rnacentral:sRNA from 1 species